GGGCGAUUAGCUCAGCUGGUAGAGCAUCCGCUUGACGUGCGGAGGGUCAGCGGUUCGAGUCCGUUAUCGCCCACCA
rnacentral:tRNA from 1 species